UACGUAGGGAGCAAGCGUUGUCCGGAUUUAUUGGGCGUAAAGAGCUCGUAGGCGGCUUAGAAAGUCAGGUGUGAAACCUCCAGGCUCAACCUGGAGACGCCACUUGAUACUUCUAUGGCUUGAGUUCGGUAGGGGAACACGGAAUUCCUGGUGUAGCGGUGAAAUGCGCAGAUAUCAGGAGGAACACCGAUGGCGAAGGCAGGUCUCUGGGCACUUACUGACGCUGAGGAGCGAAAGCGUGGGGAGCGAACAGG
rnacentral:rRNA from 1 species